rnacentral:lncRNA from 1 species
ACUGUUUCUCUUAAAACCUAAAUAGGCAACUGAGACUCAAUCACGAAGCUAAAGAGUUCUGGCAAGGAGAAUUUCCAAAAUUGACAAUUGGUUUGUAAAUCUAGUUCGAUUUAUAGAAAGAUGUGCUAUGCUUUUUUCACAGGAAAGACUCUUUCUUCAAAUAAUGACUCAGCGUACCUAUAGUGCUGGUGUACCUGCAUCCAGGAAGCCUAGAGCAAUGCAGACCUGUAAUACUGUUUGUACGCAGAUGCUGUUACAUAGUAAAGACGUUCUUUGCUCUCAGACGCUUCUGUUACCCUUGAGCCCUGCAACAUCAGACACAGAUUGCAAAAUGGUCAAAGAAGAGACUGUGAAAGAGGUGUCAGAUGAAGAUUUUAAACUGUGAGUAAUUUUUUUCAGAUAAACAAGGAGGGAUAAAGAACUAGCGUCUCACCCUCAAGCAACGUUUUUUUCUGCCCAGCCUGCCUUUUUUAAGGCCAACAUCUAGCAAAUCACACCCAGUUUUGCUGGGUAUGCGGAGCAUGGGUCAAAAAAUGGCAUCUUAAGUAGGCUA